rnacentral:rRNA from 1 species
CCUACGGGUGACUGCAGUGAGGAAUAUUGGUCAAUGGACGAGAGUCUGAACCAGCCAAGUAGCGUGAAGGAUGACUGCCCUAUGGGUUGUAAACUUCUUUUAUAUGGGAAUAAAAUGUUCCACGUGUGGGAUUUUGUAUGUACCAUAUGAAUAAGGAUCGGCUAACUCCGUGCCAGCAGCCGCGGUAAUACGGAGGAUCCGAGCGUUAUCCGGAUUUAUUGGGUUUAAAGGGAGCGUAGGUGGAUUGUUAAGUCAGUUGUGAAAGUUUGCGGCUCAACCGUAAAAUUGCAGUUGAAACUGGGAGUCUUGAGUAUAGUAGAGGUGGGCGGAAUUCGUGGUGUAGCGGUGAAAUGCUUAGAUAUCACGAAGAACUCCGAUUGCGAAGGCAGCUCACUGGACUGCAACUGACACUGAGGCUCGAAAGUGUGGGUAUCAAACAGGAUUAGAUACCCCAGUAGUC